rnacentral:rRNA from 1 species
UACGAAGGGUGCAAGCGUUACUCGGAAUUACUGGGCGUAAAGCGUGCGUAGGUGGUGAGUUAAGUCUGUCGUGAAAGCCCCGGGCUCAACCUGGGAAUGGCGAUGGAUACUGGCUCGCUAGAGUGCGGUAGAGGAGAGUGGAAUUCCCGGUGUAGCGGUGAAAUGCGUAGAUAUUGGGAGGAACACCAGUGGCGAAGGCGGCUCACUGGACCGGAACUGACGCUGAGGCGCGAAAGCGUGGGGAGCAAACAGG